AAAGUCGUAACAAGGUUUCCGUAGGUGAACCUGCGGAAGGAUCAUUACAAAUCGGUGGUGCGCCUUACAUUUGUGACGGCGCACUACAUAUUGGCACGGGGGCGUGCUUUGGCUUGGUUGGUCUGGUGUAAUGUUGUUUAUUAUGACCUAAUGAAUGGCAAGACGCCAGGCCGACAAGGCUAAAUCUAGUCCCCAUGUUUACGCUUGAUUGUUUGACAGAGUUACAACAUGAAACAACACAAAAAACAACUUUUAACAAUGGAUCUCUUGGCUCUU
rnacentral:misc_RNA from 1 species